GCGGGUAUGGCGAAAUUGGUAGACGCGCUGGAUUUAGGUUCCAGUGGGGCAACCCAUAGGAGUUCGAGUCUCCUUACCCGCACCA
rnacentral:tRNA from 1 species